rnacentral:siRNA from 1 species
CACUGAACAUGAUUAGAUAGUAUG